rnacentral:ncRNA from 1 species
CAAAGGCAUGGUCCCGACCUUAUUAUUAGCUCUAAUACAACUCACACAUGCAAGUCUCCGCAACCCAGUGAGCACGCCCUCAAUCCCCCGCCCGAGGAAGAGGAGCAGGCAUCAGGCACAAAUAUUAGCCCAAGACGCCUAGCCCAGCCACACCCCCAAGGGAAUUCAGCAGUGAUAAACAUUAAGCCAUAAGUGAAAGCUUGACUCAGUUAGUGUUAAGAGAGCCGGUAAAACUCGUGCCAGCCACCGCGGUUAGACGAGAGGCCCCAGUUAAUAAUUUAACGGCGUAAAGGGUGGUUAAGGAUAAACAACAAAUAAAGCCAAAUGGCCCUUUGGCCGUCAUACGCUUCUAGAUGUCUGAAGCCCUAACACGAAAGUAGCUUUAAUUUCACCUGACCCCACGAAAGCUAAGAAACAAACUAGGAUUAGAUACCCUACUAUGCUUAGCCGUAAACUUAGACAUCCAACUACAAUUAGAUGUCCGCCAGGGUACUACAAGCAUUAGCUCAAAACCCAAAGGACUUGACGGUGUCUCAGACCCCCCUAGAGGAGCCUGUUCUAUAACCGAUAACCCCCGUUAAACCUCACCACUCUUAGUUAUAUCAGCCUAUAUACCGCCGUCGCCAGCUUACCCUGUAAAGGCAACAAAAGUAAGCAAAAUGGGCACAACCCAGAACGUCAGGUCGAGGUGUAGCGCAUGGAGUGGAAAGAAAUGGGCUACAUUUUCUAUUUCAGAAUAUUACGAAUAUGCACCAUGAAAUAAUGCUUGAAGGAGGAUUUAGUAGUAAAAGGGAAAUAGAGCGUCCCUUUGAACUCGGCUCUGAGACGCGCACACACCGCCCGUCACUCUCCCCUGUCAAAACGCACCAAAGAUAACUAAUAAAAUAGCAUCGACGAGGGGAGGCAAGUCGUAACACGGUAAGUGUACCGGAAGGUGCACUUGGAUUAAACC